CCUACGGGGGGCAGCAGUGGGGGAUAUUGCACAAUGGGGGGAACCCUGAAGCAGCGAAGCCGCGUGGGUGAAGAAGCGCCUCGGCGCGUAAAGCCCUGUCAGCAGGGAAGAAAAUGACGGUACCUGAAGAAGAAGCCCCGGAUAACUACGUGACAGCAGCCGCGGCAAUACGUAGGGGGCAAGCGUUAUCCGGAGUUACUGGGUGUUAAGGGGGCGCAGACGGCGAUGCAAGCCAGGAGUGAAAGCCCGGGGCCCAACCCCGGGACUGCUUUUGGAACUGCGUGGCUGGAGUGCAGGAGGGGCAGGCGGAAUUCGUGGUGUAGCGGUGAAAUGCGUAGAUAUCAGGAGGAACACCGGUGGCGAAGGCGGCCUGCUGGACUGCAACUGACGUUGAGGCCCGAAAGCGUGGGGAGCAAACAGGAUUAGAUACCCCUGUAGUC
rnacentral:rRNA from 1 species